GCCAGUGUGGUAUAAGGGUUUGAACGUUAAGACUAUGACUCUGGAGAACAGGGUUCGAAUCCCGUCUUGGCU